GGCUGUCUCAGCUCGUGUCGUGAGAUGUUGGGUUAAGUCCCGCAACGAGCGCAACCCUUAUUACUAGUUGCCAGCAUUCAGUUGGGCACUCUAGUGAGACUGCCGGUGACAAACCGGAGGAAGGUGGGGACGACGUCAAAUCAUCAUGCCCCUUAUGACCUGGGCUACACACGUGCUACAAUGGAUGGUACAACGAGUCGCGAAACCGCGAGGUUUAGCUAAUCUCUUAAAACCAUUCUCAGUUCGGACUGUAGGCUGCAACUCGCCUACACGAAGUCGGAAUCGCUAGUAAUCGCGGAUCAGCAUGCCGCUUAU
rnacentral:rRNA from 1 species